rnacentral:rRNA from 1 species
GAACGCUGGCGGCGUGCCUAACACAUGCAAGUCGAGCGGAGAUAAGUGAAGCCUAGCGAUUCUUAUCUAGCGGCGGAUGGGUGAGUAACAACGUGGGUAACCUGCCCUGUACUGGGGAAUAACAGCUGGAAACGGCUGUUAAUGCCGCAUAUGCGCACGGAGCCGCAUGACUCCGGGCGGAAAGAUUUAUCGGUACAGGAUGGGCCCGCGCCGGAUUAACUAGUUGGCGGGGUAACGGCCCACCAAGGUGAUGAUCCGUAGCCGACCUGAGAGGGUGACCGGCCACAUUGGGACUGAGACACGGCCCAAACUCCUACGGGAGGCAGCAGUGGGGGAUAUUGCACAAUGGGGGAAACCCUGAUUGCAGCGACGCCGCGUGAAGGAUGACGUAUUUCGGUAUGUAAACUUCUAUCAGCGGGGAAGAAGAUGACGGUACCCGACUAAGAAGCCCCGGCUAACUACGUGCCAGCAGCCGC